rnacentral:rRNA from 1 species
UGGUGGAGUGAUUUGUCUGGUUGAUUCUGUUAACGAACGAGAUCUCCGCCACUACUUGGCCUCCGGCCUCGUUGUAGGUGUGCGCCGUUCGGCUUGCCGACUCGGUGCUGCUGGGAGGCCGGUGGCACAUAGUGGGAUUAUGCGUGUCUUAAUGCAUUGAAACGGGAGCCCAUAACA